rnacentral:rRNA from 1 species
AUUGAACGCUGGCGGCAUGCCUAACACAUGCAAUUCGAGCGGAGCGUCGGACGGGUGAGUAAUGCCUAGGAAUCUGCCUUGUAGCUGGGGAUAACGUCCGGAAACGGGCGCUAAUACCGAAUACUCUCAGAUGAGCCUAUGUCGGUUUAGCGAGUUGGUGGGGGAAAGGCCUAACAAGGCGCCGAUCCGUAACUGGUCUGAGAGGAUGAUCAGGCACACGGGAACUGAGACACGGUCCCGACUCCGACGUGAGGCAGCAGUGGGGAAUAUUGGACAAUGGGCGAAAGCAUGAUCCAGCCAUGCCGCGUGUGUGAAGAAGGUCGUCGGAUUGUAAAGUACUUUAAGUUGGGAGGCGUUACCAACAGAAUAAGCACCGGCUAACGUCGUGCCAGCAGCCGCGGUAAUUC